GGGGGGCAGCAUCCCAAGGUCAGGGGUGACGAUUUGGGUCUUCGAGGAAGUGGCCAGACACGCCUCUGCACGGACAAGCCCUCAGACCUGGAGAAGGGUGGGGAAUAGCUAUAACACAGCUGUGUCUAAGCACCUCUCACCCAGCCAGGGAGGUAACUCAAAUCAAGUACAAGGAUGGCCUCCCACAGCCUUGGAACCCCUGCUUGCUGGGAAGGUCAGGUAAUCUCAUCGAGUUGGAUUUCUCAUGGGAAGUGGGGUGGGGUGGAGCCUUUGAGUUGCAGAGUGUAGUUGGACAGGAAGUAGAUACCUCUGGCACAUUUGGAAAGCAGGAGGUGUGCAGCAGGGGCAUCUGCACUUGGUAAAGGGAUAUUACCUCUAUUAAUAAAGCUUGCAUACCUAGAAAACCUGCAUUUAUUAUGCACCACAUUGGCGCUGAGCUUGAGGCUCCAUGCAAGCUCUCUGUAUCCACUGUUGCCAUCCCCAACUCAGCAGUCCCAGGUGGGGCUUGUGCCACUGUGAUUCUCAACUCUGCUUUACAGACAAGGAAACCAAGGCAGGGAAGGCUACUGUUCAACAUCACCAAGGUUGGAAUGUGCUAGGAUCCCUACACAAGUGGUCUGGAUUCAAAGUCCAUGUUCUUUUGGUCAUAAACUUGGUGUGUGAUCUUGGGCCAGUUCCACCUCUGCCUCUGGGGCCCUGUGUUUUCUUCUAGAUGCCGGCCAGCACCAGGCGCCAGCACUGUGAACAUGCCAACUUGGAUGUUCUAUCCCAGUUGGGCCCCUGAUGACUGCACCCUCUAAGAUACUACACGGAGCAGAAGAACCACGGAAACCAGCCAGGCACAGAAUUGUGAGACAUAAUAAAAUAGGAUUUAUUUUAACUCACUAAACUUUGGG
rnacentral:lncRNA from 1 species